AUGGCGGCUAACUGGGAACGACUUCCUGAUGACAGAGCUUGGGUUGAGGUAGAGUAUAUCAACAGCUACGCUGUGUUCAUGGGUUAUCUGUCCAUGGCCAUCAAGGGCCUGGGUUUCUUGGUGCUUACUUGGGCUACCGUUGUACUUCUUGGUGGCUUUGUCUCGAUGCUGCACAAGAAAGACUUUUGGUGUUUAACGUCCAUCACUCUUGUACAGACAGCUGGGAUAUUCGAUGUUAGUCUAAAUGAAAAACUAGGCUAUAUGGGUGAUGCAUUUGGCGGGUUAAUGAUGGCCAUUUUUUCAGGCGUGGCAGGCGAACUGACAAGCUGCGACUGGGGCCCUGUAUUGGCUUAUGUUUGUCUCAUUUUCGUGGCAUUUCUUUUACUGUUGGUUCAACUAGUGGUGUUGGCCAUAAUAUUGAGCCCUCUGGCAAUUAUUUAUGUGCUUGGGAUAUUCAUGUCCGGAGUGGUUUCAUUGUGGCGUCUGAUAGAGCACGAUUACGGGGGCAACUCAGAUGGAGAAGCAUCAAACCUGGCGCCGGCAAUGGAAACCUUGUACUACCUUGCUCUGCUCCAGGGUGUCAUCUUCUGCUAUAGGUUCGUAUUGGGUCGCAUGGGGAAGAGGUUGCCUAAGGCUAUGGGAACUAAAGACUCGGAAGUUCAAGUUGUCCUUCACAACUACUUGUGCGAAACAAGGAGAGGGUGUGAGAAGGACCUGACCUUUGCUGAAGGAAGGAACCUCAUCACAUAUGCUGUAGACAAGAUUGGAUCCAAUUCACCUGUUGAUUGCAUUUCUGGGGUAAAGAUCUUAUAUGCA
rnacentral:rRNA from 1 species